GACCUCGUCUCUCUUCUGCUUGUACCGGGGAAACGCGACGGCUGCCGAGAUCCGCGCCGCGAAGCCUCGCCGCCGCGUUCGACGAGGGAGCCAGUGCACGCAAGCAUAGCGGGAUCCGGGGAUGUUUGGGAUGCGCGCCAGCGGCGCGGCAACGCUGCGGGUGGUGGGGCGGGCGCGCACCUCCACGACGACCCGGACGAUGCCGCCGUCCCGGCGCUCCUCGACCCCCGCUUCGACGGCGAAAAGUUCGACGCGCCUAAGCACCUUCUCGCCCUCAUCUCUCCACGCAGUAUGUACAGAAGGCAAGAGCUUCAGAGAUGUGGUCAACGGAUCACCCCCCGUGUUCCCCUGUCUGACGGGUCGCUGUGGACCCGUGUGUCGAUGCCAAUUUUCAGGGACACAAACAUCAGAAAGGACAACAUGAGGCUGCUUAUCUUCUCAGGAACGGCCAAUCCUUCGCCCACCCAGGAAAUAGCAAGCUACAUCGGUCUAGAACUUGGGGAGAUUAACAUAAAAGUUUGCUGAUGGCGAAAUAUACGUUCAGUUGCAAGAAAGUGCAAGGGGAUGCCAUGUGUUCCUUAUGCAGCCAUCAUGUCCUCCAGCCUCAUGGAGCUACUCAUCAUGAUUGAUGCGUCUAGAAGAGCAUCUGCUAAGAAUAUUACUGCAGUUAUCCCUUAUUUCGGUUAUGCCAGGGCUGACAGGAAGGUAAUGAAUCUGAUUGGAGAUGUUAAGAGGAAAAGUGUUUGUUAUGAUGGAUGAUAUGAUUGAUACAGCAGGUAAGUUAUCCCAUUUAAGUUGUAGGAAACAUAAUUCUAAGAUUGACCUUCUUACAGAGGGGCAGUUGAGCCAUGAUUUAAACAAUGAUUAAACGCAGAAACUAAAUAUUAUAUAGUUAGUUAAUUUUAUUUAAUAAGGUGUGGAUACAAGUCAUAUGACUUGCAAUAUAGUUUAAACCUGGAAACAUGCUGAAGUGCUCCACAUUCAUGUUUGACAACUGAGAAAGUAAAUUACAACAUCUUGUUGCAUACCAAAAGUAGCUACCUUUUGACAAUCUUUGCUUCUGAAUAUGAAUAUCCAAGACUAUCACAAUUAAAUUAGGAACUAUUGCCAAAGGAGAUGAGCUGCUGCACCAAGGAGCAAGAGAAGUCUAUGCGUGCUGUACACAUGCUGCUUAGCCCACCCGCCAUCAAGAGAUUAUCAAAUGGUUUGUUUCAAGAAGUAAUCAUCACAAACACUAUCCCUUUGAAGAAGCAUUGAAGACUUUGCUGAGCGAGGCAAGCAACCUACUUUGAUCAUGUUGAGCCCGUAUUUGCAUUACACACUUAAAAAUUAUUUUGCAUGCAUAAAGUAUUGUUUACUAGUAUUGCUAUGCUAAGUAAAUUAGCUAGGGUUUAGCUAUGCUCUAUGUGCUUGAUAUUAACACCCCCUUUGACAUUCUUAAUACCCCUCCUUUCUAACCAGCGGACUACAUACCCACUGGUCACAAAUAAAUGUGGGUCAUAGGUGCAAGUUUAAUAGUGCUUGCCAUGCAAGUCAUAUAAAUCCUAGGACUUGGGAAGAAUCUUAGCACAUUACCCCAAUAUGGGAUGAGACUGAGCUUAGUACCUUGGUCUGUCUAGUGUAGAGCCCUCGCUAGGUGGAUACCCUAUACACCGUGACGAGUGUGGACAAAUAUCAAUCAUGGGAAACUAUGUACCAUCAGGUGGACUCUGUACUUGCAUCGUUCUUGAGAAAAGUUUUGUUCAAUUGUUCAAGGUGUAUAGACCUAUCACCAAGAGACCUUCAAGAUGCAAAGGCUUGCAUCUUCAAUUGUACAAAGUGCAACUUAGUCAGAGUUUCUCCUUUCUCAAGCUUAAGCCUUUCUCUAGACCAAAUCUAUCUCAAGAAACCCAGCCUAGCUAUCAAGGGUGUGAUAGCAUGGACUUAUAUCAAUGUACUUAUGGAAUUGCAAGAGGACCCGUUAAGCACCAACAACUUUCGAUUGGAAUGAAGCCCUACAUGAGAUUGUGAUUUUGUGAGUCAAUCAUGUGGUGAUGUAGAAGUGAUGUUGAGGAGAUAAUAGUCAAAGAUGUACGGUGGAUUAUGAGAUUUUAGGGCUAGCAGGUGAGCAUGACGAUUAUUAUAUUGAUGGAUAACAUAUCUUUAAUUAAUCUUAAAAAAAUUAGAUUUAGUUUGGUGAUUGUGAUCUUGAAGCAAAUUUCACGGCGGAUUAUGAGAUUUCAUGUGGAUUUAGUUAGGUGAUUGUUAUCUUGAGGAGAUAGUUAAAAAUGUUCGAUGCAUUGUGAGAUUUUAGAGCUAGUAGGUGAGCAUGAUGAUUAUUAUAUUGUUGGAUAAACAUAUAUUUAAUUAAUUCGUGAACAAUUUGGCUUUAGUUAGGUGAUUGUGAUCUUUAACUAAAUUUCAUGGUGAUUAUGGGAUUUUAGUCUACUACGUGAGCAUGGUGAUUAUUCUAUUGUUGAAUAACGAAUCUUCAAUUAAUAUUACAAUAAUGUAUUUUGUAAAGUGAUUGUGAUUUUGAACCAAAUUUUACGGAGCAUUAUGAGAUUUUAGGUGGAUUUAGUUACGUGAUUGUGCUCUUGAGGAGAUAGUCAAAGAUGUUUGGUGGAUUAUGAGAUUUUAGGGCUAGUCGGUGAGCAUGAUGACUAUUAUAUUUGUGGAUAAAUAAAUCUUUUAUUAAUAUUAAAGCAAUAUAAAUUUAGUUUGAUGCUUGUGAUUUUGAACCAAAUUUCAUGGUGGAUUAUGAUAUCUUAGCUUGGAUUUAGUUAGAUGACUGUCGUCUUGAGAAGAUGGUCAAAGAUGUUUGGUGGAUUAUGAGAUAUGUAGUCUAGUAUGAGCAUGGCUAUAUUAUAUUGGUUGAUAAACAUAUCUUCCAUUAAUCUUGGAACAAUUUGGAUUUAGUUAGGUGAUUGUCAUCUUGAAGCAAAUUUGACGAUGGAUUAUGAGUUUUUGUGGCUCUACUUAGUUGAUUGUGAUCUUGUGGAGAUAGUCAAAGAUUUUUGGUGGAUUAUGAGAUUUUAGGUCUAGUAUGAGCAUGACCACUAUUAUAUUGAUGAAUAAACAUAUUUUCAAUUAAUCUUGGAUUAAUUUGGAUUUUAUAGGAUUUGGAUCUUGAAGAAAAUUCGACGAUGAAUUAUGGAUUUAAUUAGGUGCUUGUGAUCUUGAGGAGAUAGUAAAAAAUGUUCGGUGGAUUAUGUGAUUUUAGGUCUAGUACUUGAGAAUGGUGAUUAUUUUAUUGGUGGAUAAACAGAUCUUCAAUUAAUCUUGGAACACUUUAGAUUUAGUUAGGUGAUUGUGAUUUUGAACCAAAUUUCACAAUGGAUUAUGAUAUCUUAGCCUGGAUUUAAUUAGGUGAUUGUCAUCAUGAGAAGAUAGUCAAAUAUGGUCCAUGGAUGAUGAGAUUUUAGAUAUGGUAUGGGCAUUUCUACUACUAUAUGAAUAAAUAAACACAUCUUCAGUUAAUCUUGGAACAAUUCGGAUUUAUUUAGGUGAUUGUCAUCUUGAAGCAAAUUUGAUGAUAGAUUAUGAGGUUUUGAUGGAUUUAAUUAGGUGAUUGUGAUCUUGAGUAGAUAGACAGAGAUGUUCGGUGGAUUAUGAGGAUCACAUGACUACUACUAUAUUGGUUGAUAAACAUAUUUUUAAUUAAUCAUGAUUUUUUUGGAUUUAGUUAGGUGAUUGUGAUCUUGAAGCAAAUUUGAUGAUGGAUUAUAUGUUUUUGAUAAAUCUAAUUAUGUGAUUGUGAUUUUGAGGACAUGUUAAAAAAUCUUUGGUGGAUUAUGAGAUUUUAGGUCUAGUAUGUGAGAAUGCUUGAUUAUAUUGGUGGAUAAACAGAUUUUCAAUUAAUUUUGAAACACUAUGGAUUUAGUUAAGGGUGGCAGCCAGAUAGACAAGACUCCCAAGGAGAUGAUGAUAAUGCAUUAGAUUAGACAAAGGUUCACCAUCAGCAGCACGGAGGUGAACAUUGAGCUCCAUGGAAAUCUCAACAGUGUGCUCAUCAGUAAGAGCAACAAGAGCAAGAAGAUCUUCGAAUAUUAAUUUUGAGCAAGAAGAGACCCGAAACUCAAGAAAGUAGCAAAGAGGGCCAACAUCAGACAUAAGAAACUCCUUACUAAGACGUGGCGUCAUCACAAAGGGAAUAUACUCAGGGUCUUUGCCGGUGAUGAACAUAUAAAAGAAGACUGCUACGAAGAGCAGAAAGGUGGACAAACAACGUAGGAUCAUGAGCACUCGCUGAAAACCAGCGGCAACCACCCUAGAGGCAAAACACUCAAACUAGGCGCAAGGGGCUUGCUUAAAGACAGAGAGAGCGAUGAAGACAACGAAGCAUGUCGUCAGGAGCAGAAUACCCAGAUGAUGGUUGCAUGUAAACCUCCUCAUGCAGCUCACCAUCAAGAAAUGCAUUCUGAACAUCAAGUCGAGACAGACCCGUGGCCAAUAGAGGCCACAACAAGAAGUGUGCGAGCAGUGGUCAUAUGGUUUGCACGAGCAAAAAGUCUCAUUGUAAUCAGGACUCAUAAUCAGGACCAUACUCUUGCUGAAAGCUAUGAGCCACAAGAUGAGAACGCUCAAGAGAACUAUCAGAGUGAGUCAUAACAUUGUAGACCCACCAAGUGAUGGGACGAACAUGAGGAAGUGAAACAAUAUCCCACUUGUCGAUGCGCUCAAGAGCAACAAUCUCCUCUGCUAUUGCAAGGUGCCACUUCGUAUGAACAUCACGAUAAGAAGUCGGCUCAAGAACAACAGCGCCAACGCUUGGAAGACCAAGGCGGUCAACAGGCGGAAGCGGACGAGGAAGCAAGCCAUAUGUAGGCCGAGGCGGGGAAGAUGGCACAUCAGUAGACGCAUCCACAACAUGCGGAUGAUGUGUAUAAAAGUGAGGAAAAGAUGGAAGAAUACGAGCUGGAAUCAUCGGGAUAAACUAAUGUGAUGGAGACAAGGAAGCCACCGGUGAUGAUGGUGUAGAAUCCUGUGAUAAGCGAGGUGAGGAAAUCAUAGGAGAUGAUGGCGUUGGAUCUACAAUAAUUGGAGAAGCAGGAGUAGUACGCUGAAUGGAUAAGGGCUCAACAUGAGUGAUAUGAGUGUCAGGAAAAUUGGAAAGAGUCCACUGAAAAGGUCGAGGAAGAUGGACGUGGGUAGUAGGAAAGACUCAUCAAAAGUCAUAUCCCGAGAAAUAGGCAUCCGGUGACCAACUUGAUCCCAAUAGUGAUAUCCCUUAUGCUCAUCGUUGUAUCCUAAUAAGACACAUGCAACAGACUGAGUAGUCAGUUUGGUGCGUUCACGUGGGCCAAGGACAUAGCAAACGUAACAAAACAAUCGAAGCGCUGAAUAAUCAGGAAAUGAUCAAAUACAUGCUCGAAAGUCAUGCUACCCUGCAGAGCAGUGGAUUUGGAUUGUUGAAGGUUUAUGAGAUAGAUGGAAGUGGAGACAGACUCGGCUCAAAAGUGCGAUGGAAGAGAGGCAGUGACCAUCAAUGGACGAGCCGUCUCAAGAAGGUGACGAUGCUUGCACUCAGCCACACCAUUCUGAGCAUGUGCACCUGGAUAAGAGAACCGAAUGCAAGAGUACCCUGCUCAGCAAGGAUUCCACGCAACAACUUGGGAGAUAUACUCUCCACCAUAGUCAUCACAGAACACACAAAUAGGUGUAGAUAACUGAGUAUGAACCAUGGCAGCAAAACGCUUAUAGAUAAGACCUCACUACGAGAAGAAAUAAAGUAUAUCCAGGUGUGUCGAGAGAAGUCACUAGUGAUGACCUCCUUUCGAGGCAAAGGGAGAUGGACCCCUGACAUCAGAGUGAACAAGGUCGAAAGGACGCUGAGACACUAUCUCGCUAUGAGUAUAAGGUAAUUGGACAUUUUUACAUAGCCGACAACCUUGAUGGUUUAGAGACAUCAUCGGAGACGAAUCCAAGAAGACCACGUCAAACUAAGGAUGAGAGAUCACAACUUCACAAGUGACGAUGAUGCCACUACUGAAAAUAGUUGGUAGACGAGGCAACAGAGGUAGAGACUGGCGGCGAUGGCAACAGAGGGACUUGAUCCAGCAUCCCACGUGCCUGUGCACUCUCCGUACCCUGCCAAUCCUGAUUGGUGUUCUUCUCCUGUUUGCGGGUUGUGGGUCACGCACUUGAUUAAGCACCCCAGGUUCUCCUACUGUGCGCCCUUGGCCCCGGCUUUAGGUAGCGCCUGUCCUCGGCUCGUCCCGUGCAUAAACCAGGUAUGCACCGACUGUCCAAGCUCCUGCUCACCAUUGGUGGUGCUCGAGCGUGUGGUUAUGGUGUCACACAAUAAGGGAACAUGGGAUGUGGGAUUGAGACAGCACCCAUAGCAACCCGUAGGAAGGCAAAUGAUUCCCAUCCAGACUGGCAGAGAACGAAGCUAGACACAAAGGUGGAUGUUGACUUCAUAGGAGUCUCAAUAGUGCGCUCAUCAGUAAGAGCAGCACGAGCAAGAUCUCAAGGAAGUAGCAAAGAGGACCAAGAUCAUACAUAAGUUCACUAUGACGAGCCUUCACAAAGAUAAUGUACUUAGAGUCAUCGCUAGUGAUGAUUGACAUGCAGAAGUGUUCGACUACAAGUUGAAUGGUGGACCGAAAUUAAGUGUAGGAAAUAAAGAAGCCAUUAGAGGUAGAAGAAACCUCAAUCUCAAGGAAGUAGUGAAGAGGACCAAGAUAAUACAUAAGAAAUUCACUAUGAUGAUCCUUCACAAAGGCAAUGUACUUCGAGUCGUCGCCAGUGAUGAUCGACAUGUAGAAGUGUUCGACCACAAGUUGAAUGGUGGACCAAAAAAGUAGGAUCAUGAGCACUCGCCAAAAACUAGCCGCAAUCACCAUAUUGAUGGAUAAACAUAUCUUUCGUUAAUUUUAGAACAAUUUUGAUUUAGUUAGGUGAUUAUCACCUUGAUGCAAAUUUGACGAUGGAUUAUGAGUUUUUGGUGGAUCUACUUAGGUGAUUGUGAUCAUGUGGAGAUAGUCAAAGCUGUUCGGUGGAUUAUGAAGUUUUGGGUCUAGUAUGAGCAUGACUACUAUUAUAUUGGUGGAUAAUCAUAUUUUCAGUUAAUCUUGAAAUAAUUUGAAUUUAGGUAGGUGAUUGUGAUCUUGAAGCAAAUUUGCCGGUGGAUUUAGUUAGGCGAUUGUGAUCUUGAGGAGAUAGUCAAAUAUGUUUGGUGGAUUAUGAGAUUUUUGGUCUAGUAUGAGCAUGCCUACUAUUUAUGUUGGUGGAUAAACAUAUCUUUAAUUAAUGUUGAAAAAGAACUUCGAUUUAGUUUGGUGAUUAUCAUCUUGAAACAAAUUUGACAAUGGUUUAUGAGUUUUUAGUGGAUUUAGUUAGGUCGCUGUGAUUUUGAGGAGAUAGUCAAAGAUGUUCAGUGGAUUAUGAGAUUUUAGGGUUUGUAUGAGCAUGACUACUUUUAUGUUGGUCGAUAAACAUAUCUUCAAUUAAUAUUGGAACAACUUGGAUUUAGUUAGGUAAUUAUCAUCUUGAAGCAAAUUUGAUGAUGGUUUAUGAGUUUUUAGUGGAUUUAGUUAGGUCUUUGUGGUUUUGAGAAGAUAUUCAAAGAGGUUUGGUGGAUUAUGUGUUUUUGGUGGAUUUAGUUUGGUGAUUGUGAUCUUGAGGAGAUAGUUAAAGAUGUUCGGUGGAUUAUGAGAUUUUAAGUCUAGUAUGAGCAUGGCUAUAUUAUAUUGGUUGAUUAACAUAUCUUUCGUUAAUCGUGGAACAAUCUGGAUUUUAGUUAGGUGAUUGUCAUCUUGAAGCAAAUUUGACGAUGGAUUAUGAGUUUUUAGUCAAAGAUGUUCUGUGGAUUAUGAGAUUUUAGGUCUAGUGAGCAUCACUACAAUUAUGAGCCUGUUUGGGACUGCUCUACUCCUUAGAAUUCAGCUCGCUCCGAAAAACAUAAGCCAAACGGGAUAGCUCCACGAUAUGCCGCUCCGCAAGAAAACUAGAAUAUGGGGUACAAUUCCUAGUUUUUAUGAAGCUCUUCAGGGGGUGCUUCAGAAAACUCUAGAAGCUGGAGUUGGGUGGAAAUUACCCACCACUACCACUAGUAAGUGGAUACCCCUUUGUCGUUUGUCCCCCCUCAACCAAUCAAGUAGACCCUUUCCACCAAAUUUCUCAUUCUUGAAGCUGGAGCUAGAUGGAAGCCAAACAUUCUCUUUGGUAGUGCUACAACUUCUGGAUGAAACUGCUCCAAAGUGAAUUUAGUGGAGCAAAACUGAUUUUGGUGAAGUGGAGCAUUCCCAAACAGGCCCUAUAUUGGUGGAUAAACAUAUUUUCAAUAAUCUUGGAAUAAUUAGGAUUUAGUCAUGUGAUUUUGAUCUUGAAACAAAUUUGACAAUGUAUCAUGAGUUUUUGAUGGAUUUAAUUAGGUGAUUGUGAUCUUGAGGAGAUAUUCGAAAAUGUUCGGCGAAUUAUGAGAUUUUAGGUCUAGUACGUGAGAAUGGUGAUUAUUGUAUUGGUGGAUAAACACAAUAAAUCUUGGAGCACUUUGGAUUUAGUUAGGUGAUUGUGAUUUUUAAACCAAAUUUCACGAUGGAUUAUGAUAUCUUAGCCUAGAUUUAGUUAGGUGAUUCUCAUCUUGAGAAGAUAAUCAAAGUUGUUCCAUGAAUAAUGUGAUCUUAGUUAUAAUAUAAGCAUGUCUGCUAUUAUAUGAAUAAGUAAAACAUAUCUUCAGUUAAUCUUGGGACAAUUUGGAUUUAUUUAGAUGAUUGCCAUCUUGAAGCAAAUUUGAUGAUGGAUUAUGAGGUUUUGAUGGAUUUAGUUAGGUGAUUGUGAUCUCGAGUAGAUAGACAAAGAUGUUCGGUGGAUUAUGAGGUUUUAGGACUAGCAUGAGCUUGACUAGUACUAUAGUGGUUGAUAAACAUACUUUCAAUUAGUCUUGGAUUUUUUGGAUUUAGUAAAGUGAUUGUGAUCUUGAAGCAAAUUUGACGAUGGAUUAUGAGUUUUGAUGGAUUUAAGUACAUGGUUGUGAUUUUGAGGAGAUGGUCAAAAAUGUUCGGUGGAUUAUGAGAUUUUAGGUCUAGUACAUGAGAAUGGUGAUUAUUUUGGUGGAUAAACAGAUUUUCAAUUAAUUUUGGAACACUUUGGAUUUAGUUAAGAGAUAGUCAAAGAUAUUUGGUGGAUUAUGAGUUUUUGGUGGAUUUAGUUCGGUGAUUGUGAUCUUUAGGAGAUAGUUAAAGAUGUUCGAUGGAUUAUGAGAUUAUAAGUCUAGUAUGAGCAUGGCUAUAUUAUAUGGGUUGAUAAACAUAUCUUUUGUUAUUCUUGGAACAAUUUGGAUUUAGUUAGGUGAUUGUCAUCUUUAAGAAAAUUUGACGAUGGAUUAUGAGUUUUUGGUGGAUCUACUUAGAUGAUUGUAAUCCCGAGGAGAUAGUCAAAGAUGUUAGGUGGAUUAUGAGAUUUUAGGUCUAGUAUGAGCGUGACUACUAUUAUAUUGGUGGAUAAACAUAUUUUCAAUUAAUCUUGAAAUAAUUUGGAUUUACUUACGUGAUUUUGAUCUUGGAGCAAAUUCGACGAUAGAUUAUAAGUUUUUGAUGGACUUAAUUAGGUGAUUGUGAUCUUGAGGAGAUAGUAAAAAAUGUUUGGUGGAUUAUGAGAUUUGAUUAUUUUGUUGGAGGAUAAACAGUUUUUGAGAUUUGAUUUAAUUAAUCCUGAAACAAUUUGGAUUUAGUUAGGUGAAUGUGAUCUCGAACCCAAUUUCAUGGUGGAUUAUGAGAUUUUGGAUUUAAUACGUGAGAAUGACGAUUAUAAACAUAUCUCCAGUUAAUCUUGGAACGUUUUGAUUUAGUUAGGACAUUGUGAUCUUUAAGCAAAUUUGUUAGUGAAUUAUGAUAUUUUAGGUGGAUUUAGUUACGUGAUUGUGAUCUUGGGGAGAUAGUCAAAGAUGGUUGAUGGAUUAUGACAUUUUAGGUCUAGUAUGAGCAUGACUACUAUUAUAUUGGUGGAUAAACAUAUAUUCAAAUAAUUUGGAUCAUUUUGGAUUUAGUCAGGUGAUUGAUCUUGAAGCAAAUUUGAUGAUGGAUUAUAAGUUUUUGGUGGAUUUAGUUAGGUGAUUGUGGUCUGGAGGAGUUGUCUAAAAUAUUCUGUGGACAAUGAGAUUGUAGGUCUAGUACGUGAGCAUUGUGAUUAUUAUAUUGAUGGAUAAACAUAACUUAAAUUAAUCUUGGAACACUUUGGAUUUAGUUAGGUGAUUGUGUUCGGUGGAUUAUGAGAUUUUAGGUCUAGUACUUGAGCAUGGUGAUCAUUAUAUUGGUGGAUAGACAAAUCUUCAAUUAAUUUUGGAACACAUUGGUUUUAGUUACGUGAUUGUAAUCUUGAAGCAGAUUUAUCGGUGAAUGAGAUUUUAGGUGGAUUUAGUUAGGUGAUUGUGAUCAUGAGAAGAUAGUCAAAGAUGUUUAGUAGAUUAUGAGAUUUUAAGCCUAUUAGGUGAGCAUGGUGAUUAUUAUAUUACUGAAUAAACAAAUCUUCAAGCAAUUUUGCAACAAUUUAUAUUCAGUUAGGUGCUUGUGAUUUUGAAGAAAAAUGCACGGUGAAUUACAAAAUUUUAGGUUGAUUUAGGUAGGUGAUUAUAAUCUUGAGAAGAUGUUAGGUGGAUUAUGAGUUUUUAGGGCUAAUAGGUGAGCAUGAUGAUUAUUGUAUUAUUGGAUAAACAAAUAUUUAGUUAAUCUUGGAACAAUUUAGAUUUUGUUAGGUGAUUGUGAUCUUCAACUAAAUUUCAUGGUGGAUUAUAAGAUUGUAGGUGGAUUUAAUUAGGUGAUUGUGCUAUUGAGCAGACAGCCAAAGAUGUUUGGUGUAUUAUGUGAUUUUAGGUUAGUAUGGGCACACCUACUUUUAUAUUGGUAGAUUAACAUAUCUUCAAUAAAUCUUGGAAGAGUUUGGAUUUGCUUAUGUGAUUGUGAUCUUGAAGAAAAUUUGACGACGAAUUACGUGUUUUUGGUGGAUUUAGUUUGUAGAUUGUGAUCUUGAGGAGAUAGUUAAAGAUCUUCGGUGGAUUAUGAGAUUUUAAGUCUAGUAUGAGCAUGGCUACUAUUAUAUUGGUGGAUAAACAUAUUUUUUAGUUAAUCUUGAAAUAAUUUGGAUUUAGUUAGGUGAUUUUGAUGUUGAAGCAAAUUUUAUGAUGGAUUAUGAGUUUUUGAUCGAUUUUAUUAGUUGAUUGUGAUGUUGUGGAGAUAGUAAAAAAUGUUUGGUGGAUUAUGAGAUUUGAUUAUUUAUUGGUGGAUAAACAGUAUUUUAAUUAAUUUUUGAGGAAUUUGGAUUCAGUUAGGUGAUUAUGAUAUUGGACCCAAUUUCACGAUGGAUUAUGAGAUUUUAGCUGGAUUCAGUUAGGUAAUUGUGGUCUUGAGGAGAUAGUCAAAGAUGUUUGGUGGAUUAUGAGAUUUUAGGCCUACACCUAGUUUCAAUGGAUAUGCUGGCGACCUUCAGCAUUGACCUCGCUUCCGGCUUAUGCUGACGUCCCAGUUGUGAGAUUCUGAGCACUUCAAAGCCGCCUUGGCAAAGCACCAUCGUUGCGGAAGGUCCCGUAUUGAGAACACGAUACAGCGUUAUGUGAAGUCCAAGGCUGAUUGGUGGACAAAUGUCAUGAGCGUAUCCGGCGUGGUGCUACAGUUGGCAAGACAGUCUGCCGCCAAAAUCUUGUAAGGUUAACUCAUUUGUGGCUGAAGGCAGAACAAGAGAGGCAACACAACUACUUGAAAGAUGGGCCAUAUGUGACACCUGAAGAAGCAGUUGCUAUUUAUCCAACUAUUUCCCGUGCACAUCUUUGGCACAAGGUCCAUGAAAGUGUUGCUAUGGAUCUUUGCCAACUUCUGGGUCAGGAGUUGGCUGCGCUGGAGAUUGAGAUAGUACAGAAGGAGACAAUACAUCCAAGGAAGAGUUGCAAGAUGAACAGUUCAUGCGCAGAUGUCCUUUUUGCUGCACAUAGGUGGCAGAUGUCCAAACCAAGCUUAGUUUUUGAGUCAAAGGAUGUCUUCAAUCAGAAAGCCAGUAACAAGCACUGGAUUGAUGUGCAACCAAGAUGGAGAGACUACGAUUCACACGACAUAGAACGUUACGCAAGAGCAAAAUUUAUGGACUACACGGCAGAUAAUUUGUCCAUCUACCGUUUUUUGACUGGGGUGAUGAUUGGACUUGAUCUACUCCCUCCGUUCCAUAUUACUUGUCGCUGAUUUAGUACAACAGCGACGAGUAAUAUGGAACGGAGGGAGUAGCUUAUAAUUUGCUCUCUGCUUUUGGUAAUUGGUUCCCCGGGUCAAAGCCCCUCCUUCAGCAAGCAGUGAACAAGAUCAUGAAGUCAAAUCCUGCUCUGUAUGUGCCGAGGGAGAGAAUAGGAAAGGGUCUUCAGUUGUAUUCAUCUGAACCCACCGCCCACCGAGCCAUAUCCGUCUUCACAGAACUACAGUACGGAGAGAUAUUCAGCAAUCAAAUCAUAUGGUUUGUGGAUGACACAAAUGUCUAUCGAGUUACCAUUCACAAAACCGAGGGUAACCUGACGGCCAAACCAAUCAAUGGUGUUAUCUUUAUUUUCAAUCCAAGAACUGGUCAACCAACUAUUUCUGAAGGUCAUCCACACAAGUGUAUGGGCAGGACAAAGCAAAUUAUUGUGACAAGGAAGGGAUUUGGCGUGACAUGCUAAAAUUUUGGAGAAGAACAAGGCGUGGCAUGGUGAAAAGUCCAUCAUUUUGACCUGCCGGUGAACAUCAUGGGUCAGUGGUUAUGUUUGUGAGAAGAGAAAAACCUAUCGUGGUCAGUGGUUAUCACUUUUCAAACUGAAUCGUUAUUGUCAAGUGGAUGGUUUGCUUGGUGUUAUCAUCCUUGUCUGGUUGAUUCUUUAUGAUUUGUGCUGCUUUGUUGAAGCUUGUUGUGUUAUGUUCAUCUGGUUGCUCUUCUUAAGAUUGGAGCACUUGCAGAUUUCUGUUGCUAGAUUAAGUUUACUAUGUCGGUCAGUGUUUGGUUAUAUAUGUUUUUGUCAGUCAGUUUUGUGCCAGAGAGCAAAUCAGUUGUUCUGGACCUGGUCAAACCUCAGCUAUUUCUUGAGCCAGUUCUGGGAUGGUGACCCCUUGAGGAGUCUGGUCAAAGCAAGCCAGCAGCAUGAACAUUACUACUGUAACCAUCUUUGCACUGACGAUGAUGGCUCACCUGUUGGAUCAUAUCAAUAUGAGCCUCCUGAUCUUAUGCACAACCCUUCACGACACAUGACUGGCUUUGCUGUUCCUAGUCUCGUUGCGUCCGUCCGUCCCAUGGAAAUCAACACCUGACAGCAAUAGUAGUGGAUGUUUCUUCUUCCUUGUGACUAGAGUUGUUUUGACAGUAACUCUGAUUAUGAGGUAAUGAAUGGUUUCACAUCAUUAUAUAUCUUGCGGAUACUUUGAGCGCCUCAAAGCAUUGGUUUGUCAAUAUAUUACUAUUAGGCAUGCAAAUGUACCAGAUUAAGUAAGGGAAAGGAAGGCAACGGACCUCAAAAUUAUGCUGAAAAAUCUGUGUUGGUCCCAAGCAAAACGUUGUACAAAAAUGCAGUAGAAGUUGCGGGCAUGUCAAACAAGUGAUUUUAUUUGAUUUGCAGCAAAAGACUGGAAGGAAUUGUUCCUGGAGAACUUGGAAUAAGUGAUGGUAACUAAGAAUUAUAUCACGCUAAAAAAAUGAAGAAUUAUAUCAGUAACUGUAAUUGUCCUGGGAUGAUAAGCAGUUGCACUGUUGCCUCAGCUAUUGUUUCUGUUUCCGUGAAGCAUUUUAAUAUUCACAUUCAAAAUUCAGAUAUAUAAUUACGCUGCAGAGACUGUCUUCUCAGUUUCGGAAUGCAAGCAGUGUAGCUAGCCCACUGAAAUCUAGAAGCAUUUUAAUAUCAAUGUAGCUUAUUUUUGUGUGUGCUGUAUUAGUGCACUGUGACUUAAAUAAGAAUUUGGGGAAAUAUUGUUACGCUCCUAGUAAACUUGUGUACUUUCUGUUAAUAAUAUCGAGAAAGUUCGUUCGUUUUCUGGUUAAUCAUGGCAGUGUCGUCCAUGUUCACCGUCAGUUGGCUCGUAACUGUGUACUACAUCCAUUUUAGCGAUAAGUAAUCCCGAGCGGAGGAAGUAGUUAAUUUUUCGCCCACAUCUAGUAGAAGAUCGAUGCCCCAUGCUGGCCAUCCGAGUAAUUUUUUUUGGAGUCUGCUAUUUGCUCCAUGCUGGCAAGAAUUGGAUCACGUCGCCCCUUGUUUUCUGAAAUUUUCCCAAUGACACGAGUUUCUUGUUGGUAAUUCAAUAAAACAAUCCAUUAUUAUGUGACCUGAUUUCAUAGAGGGAAUGAGGAUCACUUUAUUUCCUAACAAAUAGUAACAAUUACAGU